AGCGAACGCUGGCGGCAGGCCUAACACAUGCAAGUCGAACGAACCCUUCGGACUUAGUGGCGGACGGGUGAGUAACACGUGGGAACGUGCCUUUAGGUUCGGAAUAACUCAGGGAAACUUGUGCUAAUACCGAAUGUGCCCUUCGGGGGAAAGAUUUAUCGCCUUUAGAGCGGCCCGCGUCUGAUUAGCUAGUUGGUGAGGUAAAGGCUCACCAAGGCUACGAUCAGUAGCUGGUCUGAGAGGAUGACCAGCCACAUUGGGACUGAGACACGGCCCAAACUCCUACGGGAGGCAGCAGUGGGGAAUCUUGCGCAAUGGGCGAAAGCCUGACGCAGCCAUGCCGCGUGGAUGAUGAAGGUCUUAGGAUUGUAAAAUCCUUUCACCGGUGAAGAUAAUGACUGUAGCCGGAGAAGAAGCCCCGGCUAACUUCGUGCCAGCCGCCGCGGUAAAAC
rnacentral:rRNA from 1 species